UACGAAGGGGGCUAGCGUUGUUCGGAAUUACUGGGCGUAAAGCGCACGUAGGCGGGUAUUUAAGUCAGGGGUGAAAUCCCAGAGCUCAACUCUGGAACUGCCUUUGAUACUGGGUACCUAGAGUAUGGAAGAGGUGAGUGGAAUUCCAAGUGUAGAGGUGAAAUUCGUAGAUAUUCGGAGGAACACCAGUGGCGAAGGCGGCUCACUGGUCCAUUACUGACGCUGAGGUGCGAAAGCGUGGGGAGCAAACAGG
rnacentral:rRNA from 1 species